GACGAACGCUGGCGGCGUGCUUAACACAUGCAAGUCGAACGGAAAGGCCCUGCUUUUGUGGGGUGCUCGAGUGGCGAACGGGUGAGUAACACGUGAGUAACCUGCCCUUGACUUUGGGAUAACUUCAGGAAACUGGGGCUAAUACCGGAUAGGAGCUCCUGCUGCAUGGUGGGGGUUGGAAAGUUUCGGCGGUUGGGGAUGGACUCGCGGCUUAUCAGCUUGUUGGUGGGGUAGUGGCUUACCAAGGCUUUGACGGGUAGCCGGCCUGAGAGGGUGACCGGCCACAUUGGGACUGAGAUACGGCCCAGACUCCUACGGGAGGCAGCAGUGGGGAAUAUUGCACAAUGGGCGGAAGCCUGAUGCAGCAACGCCGCGUGCGGGAUGACGGCCUUCGGGUUGUAAACCGCUUUCGCCUGUGACGAAGCGUGAGUGACGGUAAUGGGUAAAGAAGCACCGGCUAACUACGUGCCAGCAGCCGCGGUGAUACGUAGGGUGCGAGCGUUGUCCGGAUUUAUUGGGCGUAAAGGGCUCGUAGGUGGUUGAUCGCGUCGGAAGUGUAAUCUUGGGGCUUAACCCUGAGCGUGCUUUCGAUACGGGUUGACUUGAGGAAGGUAGGGGAGAAUGGAAUCCCUGGUGGAGCGGUGGAAUGCGCAGAUAUCAGGAGGAACACCAGUGGCGAAGGCGGUUCUCUGGGCCUUUCCUGACGCUGAGGAGCGAAAGCGUGGGGAGCGAACAGGCUUAGAUACCCUGGUAGUCCACGCUGUAAACGGUGGGUACUAGGUGUGGGGUCCAUUCCACGGGUUCCGUGCCGUAGCUAACGCUUUAAGUACCCCGCCUGGGGAGUACGGCCGCAAGGCUAAAACUCAAAGGAAUUGACGGGGCCCCGCACAAGCGGCGGAGCAUGCGGAUUAAUUCGAUGCAACGCGUAGAACCUUACCUGGGUUUGACAUGGAUCGGGAGUGCUCAGAGAUGGGUGUGCCUCUUUUGGGGUCGGUUCACAGGUGGUGCAUGGCUGUCGUCAGCUCGUGUCGUGAGAUGUUGGGUUAAGUCCCGCAACGAGCGCAACCCUUGUUCACUGUUGCCAGCACGUUAUGGUGGGGACUCAGUGGAGACCGCCGGGGUCAACUCGGAGGAAGGUGGGGAUGACGUCAAGUCAUCAUGCCCCUUAUGUCCAGGGCUUCACGCAUGCUACAAUGGCUGGUACAGAGAGUGGCGAGCCUGUGAGGGUGAGCGAAUCUCGGAAAGCCGGUCUCAGUUCGGAUUGGGGUCUGCAACUCGACCUCAUGAAGUCGGAGUCGCUAGUAAUCGCAGAUCAGCAACGCUGCGGUGAAUAAAAUCCCGGGGCU
rnacentral:rRNA from 1 species